rnacentral:tRNA from 2 species
GGGUCGAUGGCCGAGUGGUUAAAGGCGGCAGACUGUAAAUCUGCUCUCAAUCGAGUACGGUGGUUCAAAUCCAUCUCGGCCCA